UACGUAGGGGGCAAGCGUUGUCCGGAUUUAUUGGGCGUAAAGCGCGUGUAGGCGGCUAGGUAGGUCCGCUGUGAAAACUUGAGGCUCAACCUCAAGAGGUCGGUGGAAACCAUCUAGCUAGAGUCCGGAAGAGGAGACUGGAAUUCCUGGUGUAGCGGUGAAAUGCGCAGAUAUCAGGAAGAACACCGGUGGCGAAGGCGGCUCUCUGGGCCUUACCUGACGCUCAGGUGCGAAAGCUAGGGGAGCGAACAGG
rnacentral:rRNA from 1 species